rnacentral:lncRNA from 1 species
GGGCAAAGUUGUUUUAGCGAUCUGGUUGCAACUAAGUAUUGGAGUUGUUGUGCCUUGAAGCUAGAAACUGCCUUGAAUUUCUACAUAGGGAAAUGUAAUCUAUUGCUUUCUUACAGGGGAGGCAGAUGAUGAAUAAAUGAACAAAAAAUAUAAUAAUGGAUAUGUAUUUAUAAGUGCUAUGAAGAGAAGAAAUCCAAGCAAGAAGAGAGUGAAAUGAGGUAUCCUGUAAGAACAAAUUGCUGCCUCCUCCAGGUGGAAAGGGAUCAAAUAUAAUUAAUCUGUGUGUGCCACACAGUAGCUUGAUAGUUUAAUUGAGGAAUGUUGACAUAUUGAGAGCUCAGCAUUACUUUCUGCUAUCAGCAGUGACGAAGCCAGUGCCUGGGAUUCUGAGAUGCAGCCACAUCAUAAAGUUUCAUUACUCAAUUGCAGUAGAGAAAACCUCAAAGGAACCACUUCUAAUGGAAACUGCCUCAAUUCCUGGUCAAGUCUCACAGUCUAACCUGGAGGUGCUCUGAGAUGUGACUAAGUUAAGGAUUUUGAGAUGAAGAGACCAUCCUGAAUUAUCUGAGUGGGUCCUGAAUGUCAUCACAAGAAGCCUUAGAAGAGAGAAGCAUGAAAACCAGAAGAGGAGGAAGAGGCAACCGGGCCAUGAAGACAAGAGAUUAGAGUGAUGUGGCCACAAGUCAAGAAGUGCCGGCCUCCAGCAAAAAACUGGAAGUCAGGAGCAGGAUCUCUCCUAGAGCCUGUGGAGGGAAUGUAACCCUGCCAAUAACUUGAUUUUGGCCCAGAGAAACUGACUUCAGACUUCUGGCCUUCAGGAUGGCGAGAGAAUUAAAUCGCUGUUGUUUUUAGCCCAGUAUGUGGUAAUUUUGUUACAACAGCCACAGAAAACUAGUACAGUGGAUUUUUAGCAGUAGAAUUAAAUUAGCAGUGGAUUAAAGAGCAGUAGAAUUGUGAUUUUAUCAACACUUACUGGAUGGCAGAUUUCCUCUGCAGCAGAAGAGAAUAAAAUGUUGCCUAGGUGAUGCUGACCACCAAAACUUCUGCCAUGGACUCAGCAGUGUGAACAGACCCUGGGAAUCUAUGUACACAUAAAACACCAUGAACAUUUUGCAUUUUCUGAUUUGAACUGAAUAGGCGUUCUACUCUGUAAAUAUUUACAAAAAAACUAAAUAUAUAUUUAUGUUAACCCUUUGCUAGAGAUUUUUAAACAAACAAAAAAAUACCAGAUCUUAUUCACCAUUUUUGAUGUCAGUAAAGUGUGUUACGCAAAUUGGCUUCAAAAAUUAAAACCUGUAACAAACUUUGAGUCUUGAAAUGCAUGCUAUGUAUGAUCUUAAAAACAUGUAGGUAGGCUUAUUAGUUCAUAGAGGUUCAUAGUAUUUCAUAUGUUUUUCAGACUAUAUGUAGGGAAUUGCUGACAAAUCUUGGUAUCACUAAAUCCAUUAUCAUGUUCUGAAAUGUCACCAAAUUGAGCCUACAUAUUGUGAAGAGUGAGUGUAUGGCCAUAUAGUGUAUGGCCUCAAGAUUUUGUCUUAUAAUUUAAGUUUCAAUGUCCACACCUCAUCUAAAUUAGGGUACCAUUUGGACUAUCAUGUUUAAUAAAUUUACCACUAAGUAAUUACAUUAAAAACAAAUUUAUCUUAAAGAUGUAUAAAUUGUUUUCAUUGAAGAAGGUAGUUACUUUGGUAGCCUGUUAACAAAGCCCUGGGAAUUAUAAGACUGUAUUUUCAUGGAGGCAUACAUGUGUAGUAAUUGUAAAAUGGUUCUGUUUUCAUAUCUGGAUCUUUUAUAUGUGUGUCUGAAUUAAGAAAUUCCCAUAAUAAAAUAAAAUCUUAAUUUAGCAAAAUUAAUAUAUAGAAAGAAAUUUUAUAAAUCAUAGACUUUUAAGAUGAUCAAAUAACCUUGCUGAUCAUCUAGUCUCACACCUUUUUUGUAGAAGGCUAGACUAAAAUUCAUAAAUGUAAAUGAUCUCUCUAAAGGCAUAUGGCAAGCUAUUGGACACACCAGGAAUAAAACCCAGGUCUUGGCCGGGCGAGGUGGCUCACGCCUGUAAUCCCAGCACUUUGGGAGGCCGAGGCGGGCGGAUCACGAGGUCAGGAGAUUGAGACCAUCCCGGCUAAAACGGUGAAACCCCGUCUCUACUAAAAAUACAAAAAUUUAGCCGGGCGUAGUGGCGGGCGCCUGUAGACCCAGCUACUUGGGAGGCUGAGGCAGGAGAAUGGCGUGAACCCGGGAGGCGGAGCUUGCAGUGAGCCGAGAUCCCGCCACUGCACUCCAGCCUGGGCGAUAGAGCGAGACUCCGUCUCAAAAAAAAAAAAAAAAAAACCCAGGUCUUCUGACUCCUAGUCCAGGACUCAUCACAA